UAAACGUUGAAACAGGCACCUCUACUAUUUCUCGACCGAGACACAUCAUGAAGGUUGUGUCUCUGGUGAUGGUCGCCGUGGUGGUGACCCUGGCCUCCCUGAUUAUGUCCUCCAGGGCCAUGCCUGACCCCAACGCUCUGGCUGACCCUCAAUUUGGCCAUAGACCCGGGUUCGGAUACGCUCCCGGGUUCGGUUAUGCUCCGGGAAUCAGAGUACAUCAUAGACGUUACGGCGUCGGUUUAGGGUUGCUACACCGGCCGAUAUAUCCUCAUCGUCAGUACGGAAUCUACGGUUAAGACGCGUGUUGUGAAGGGGACGAUCUCCGCCAGGCUAGGACCCCCCAUUAGGAUAAGAGACAACCUUCAAAAUAUUCUUGGAGAGACGAACAGUACUUCAAGCCUCGUAUCGAAGACAGAAUCAUAUAUUUGGUACGCUGUAAUGAGUCACAUUCCUCACUACUAGGUACCAACCUAUUCAUCUACCAGUCUCAUCUACUACCAGCCGCUCUAGGAUCCUCCAUCAUUUAGUAUCCAACUCUAACCAAGAAUCCAGCAUCCAUUAUGUACUCAUCAUUACCAGAAGUCCCUCCAUGAGAUGCUUGGUGGCUGUAUACCGGUUGCUCAGUACAUGCAAGGAGCAACAAAAAGAGUGUACAAAAUAAACGCAUAUUUCUAA